UACGAAGGGUGCAAACGUUGCUCGGAAUCAUUGGGCGUAAAGCGCACGUAGGCGGCUUCGCAAGUCGGAUGUGAAAUCCCUAGGCUCAACCAAGGACGUGCAUCCGAAACUGCGAAGCUUGAGUACAGAAGAGGAUCGCGGAAUUCCCGGUGUAGAGGUGAAAUUCGUAGAUAUCGGGAGGAACACCAGUGGCGAAGGCGGCGAUCUGGGCUGAUACUGACGCUGAGGUGCGAAAGCGUGGGGAGCAAACAGG
rnacentral:rRNA from 1 species